rnacentral:rRNA from 1 species
GCAAGUCGAACGAGAAAGGGCUUCGGCCCCGGUACAGUGGCGCACGGGUGAGUAACACGUAGGUAAUCUAUCCUCGAGUGGUGGAUAACAUCCCGAAAGGGGUGCUAAUACAGCAUAAGACCACACUCUCGUAAGGGAGAGGGGUCAAAGCGGGCCAAUCCAUGGAAGCUCGCGCUUGAGGCUGAGCCUGCGGGGCAUCAGCUAGUUGGUGGGGUAAUGGCCUACCAAGGCAUAGACGCCUAGCUGGUCUGAGAGGAUGAUC